rnacentral:rRNA from 1 species
UUGAACGCUGGCGGCAUGCCUUACACAUGCAAGUCGAACGGCAGCACGGGUGCUUGCACCUGGUGGCGAGUGGCGAACGGGUGAGUAAUACAUCGGAACAUGUCCUGUAGUGGGGGAUAGCCCGGCGAAAGCCGGAUUAAUACCGCAUACGAUCCAUGGAUGAAAGCGGGGGACCUUCGGGCCUCGCGCUAUAGGGUUGGGCGAUGGCUGAUUAGCUAGUUGGUGGGGUAAAGGCCCACCAAGGCGCCGAUCAGUAGCUGGUCUGAGAGGACGACCAGCCACACUGGGACUGAGACACGGCCCAGACUCCUACGGGAGGCAGCAGUGGGGAAUUUUGGACAAUGGGCGAAAGCCUGAUCCAGCAAUGCCGCGUGUGUGAAGAAGGCCUUCGGGUUGUAAAGCACUUUUGUCCGGAAAGAAAUCCUGAGGGCUAAUAUCCUUCGGGGAUGACGGUACCGGAAGAAUAAGCACCGGCUAACUACGUGCCAGCCGCCGCCGUAA